rnacentral:rRNA from 1 species
GGGUUGUGAGGUUAAGCGACUAAGCGUACACGGUGGAUGCCCUGGCAGUCAGAGGCGAUGAAGGACGUGCUAAUCUGCGAUAAGCGUCGGUAAGGUGAUAUGAACCGUUAUAACCGGCGAUUUCCGAAUGGGGAAACCCAGUGUGUUUCGACACACUAUCAUUAACUGAAUCCAUAGGUUAAUGAGGCGAACCGGGGGAACUGAAACAUCUAAGUACCCCGAGGAAAAGAAAUCAACCGAGAUUCCCCCAGUAGCGGCGAGCGAACGGGGAGCAGCCCAGAGCCUGAAUCAGUGUGUGUGUUAGUGGAAGCGUCUGGAAAGGCGCGCGAUACAGGGUGACAGCCCCGUACACAAAAAUGCACAUGCUGUGAGCUCGAUGAGUAGGGCGGGACACGUGGUAUCCUGUCUGAAUAUGGGGGGACCAUCCUCCAAGGCUAAAUACUCCUGACUGACCGAUAGUGAACCAGUACCGUGAGGGAAAGGCGAAAAGAACCCCGGCGAGGGGAGUGAAAAAGAACCUGAAACCGUGUACGUACAAGCAGUGGGAGCACGCUUAGGCGUGUGACUGCGUACCUUUUGUAUAAUGGGUCAGCGACUUAUAUUCUGUAGCAAGGUUAACCGAAUAGGGGAGCCGAAGGGAAACCGAGUCUUAACUGGGCGUUAAGUUGCAGGGUAUAGACCCGAAACCCGGUGAUCUAGCCAUGGGCAGGUUGAAGGUUGGGUAACACUAACUGGAGGACCGAACCGACUAAUGUUGAAAAAUUAGCGGAUGACUUGUGGCUGGGGGUGAAAGGCCAAUCAAACCGGGAGAUAGCUGGUUCUCCCCGAAAGCUAUUUAGGUAGCGCCUCGUGAAUUCAUCUCCGGGGGUAGAGCACUGUUUCGGCAAGGGGGUCAUCCCGACUUACCAACCCGAUGCAAACUGCGAAUACCGGAGAAUGUUAUCACGGGAGACACACGGCGGGUGCUAACGUCCGUCGUGAAGAGGGAAACAACCCAGACCGCCAGCUAAGGUCCCAAAGUCAUGGUUAAGUGGGAAACGAUGUGGGAAGGCCCAGACAGCCAGGAUGUUGGCUUAGAAGCAGCCAUCAUUUAAAGAAAGCGUAAUAGCUCACUGGUCGAGUCGGCCUGCGCGGAAGAUGUAACGGGGCUAAACCAUGCACCGAAGCUGCGGCAGCGACGCUUAUGCGUUGUUGGGUAGGGGAGCGUUCUGUAAGCCUGCGAAGGUGUGCUGUGAGGCAUGCUGGAGGUAUCAGAAGUGCGAAUGCUGACAUAAGUAACGAUAAAGCGGGUGAAAAGCCCGCUCGCCGGAAGACCAAGGGUUCCUGUCCAACGUUAAUCGGGGCAGGGUGAGUCGACCCCUAAGGCGAGGCCGAAAGGCGUAGUCGAUGGGAAACAGGUUAAUAUUCCUGUACUUGGUGUUACUGCGAAGGGGGGACGGAGAAGGCUAUGUUGGCCGGGCGACGGUUGUCCCGGUUUAAGCGUGUAGGCUGGUUUUCCAGGCAAAUCCGGAAAAUCAAGGCUGAGGCGUGAUGACGAGGCACUACGGUGCUGAAGCAACAAAUGCCCUGCUUCCAGGAAAAGCCUCUAAGCAUCAGGUAACAUCAAAUCGUACCCCAAACCGACACAGGUGGUCAGGUAGAGAAUACCAAGGCGCUUGAGAGAACUCGGGUGAAGGAACUAGGCAAAAUGGUGCCGUAACUUCGGGAGAAGGCACGCUGAUAUGUAGGUGAAGUCCCUCGCGGAUGGAGCUGAAAUCAGUCGAAGAUACCAGCUGGCUGCAACUGUUUAUUAAAAACACAGCACUGUGCAAACACGAAAGUGGACGUAUACGGUGUGACGCCUGCCCGGUGCCGGAAGGUUAAUUGAUGGGGUUAGCGCAAGCGAAGCUCUUGAUCGAAGCCCCGGUAAACGGCGGCCGUAACUAUAACGGUCCUA